rnacentral:rRNA from 1 species
UGGGGAAUUUUCCGCAAUGGGCGAAAGCCUGAUGGAGCAAUACCGCGUGAGGGAAGAAGGCUCUUGGGUUGUAAACCUCUUUUCUCUGGGAAGAAGACCUGACGGUACCAGAGGAACAAGCAUCGGCUAACUCCGUGCCAGCAGCCGCGGUAAUACGGAGGAUGCAAGCGUUGUCCGGAAUUAUUGGGCGUAAAGCGUCCGUAGGUGGUUAUACAAGUCUGCCGUUAAAGACAGUAGCUUAACUACUGAAAGGCGGUGGAAACUGUAAGACUAGAGAACGGUAGGGGUAGAGGGAAUUCCCAGUGUAGCGGUGAAAUGCGUAGAGAUUGGGAAGAACACCAGUGGCGAAAGCGCUCUACUGGGCCUGUACUGACACUAUUGGACGAAAGCUAGGGGAGCGAAAGGGAUUAGAUACCCCUGUAGU